rnacentral:rRNA from 1 species
ACGAACGCUGGCGGCGUGCUUAACACAUGCAAGUCGAACGGAAAGGCCCUGCUUUUGUGGGGUGCUCGAGUGGCGAACGGGUGAGUAACACGUGAGUAACCUGCCCUUGACUUUGGGAUAACUUCAGGAAACUGGGGCUAAUACCGGAUAGGAGUUCCUGCUGCAUGGUGGGGGUUGGAAAGUUUCGGCGGUUGGGGAUGGACUCGCGGCUUAUCAGCUUGUUGGUGGGGUAGUGGCUUACCAAGGCUUUGACGGGUAGCCGGCCUGAGAGGGUGACCGGCCACAUUGGGACUGAGAUACGGCCCAGACUCCUACGGGAGGCAGCAGUGGGGAAUAUUGCACAAUGGGCGGAAGCCUGAUGCAGCAACGCCGCGUGCGGGAUGACGGCCUUCGGGUUGUAAACCGCUUUCGCCUGUGACGAAGCGUGAGUGACGGUAAUGGGUAAAGAAGCACCGGCUAACUACGUG